GGCGCUGUGGCACAGUGGGUUAAUGCCCUGGCCUGAAGCGCCGGCAUCCCAGUUCGAGACCUGGCUGCUCCA
rnacentral:tRNA from 1 species